ACUGCCCCUAGAGGCGUUGCAGGUGUGGCUGCCACGCCCCGCUGGCGUCAUUAGGCGGCAGAGAGCAGAGAGGCUUGCCUACGCCCAGCGCCCUGGCCAUGGGCGCCUGGAUGGUUGACGGCCUGACACG